rnacentral:rRNA from 1 species
GUGAGUAGUUCAGAGUUUGAUCCUGGCUCAGGAUGAACGCUGGCGGCACGCUUAACACAUGCAAGUCGAGCGAAGGGAAAGGUGCUUGCACCUAUCCCUUAGCGGCGGACGGGUGAGUAACACGUGGGUAACCUACCUCAUACAGGGGGAUAACGUAUAGAAAUGUACGCUAAUACCGCAUAAGCCUACAGAAUGGCAUCAUUCAGUAGGAAAAACUCCGGUGGUAUGAGAUGGGCCCGCGACUGAUUAGCUAGUUGGGGAGGUAACGGCUCACCAAGGCGACGAUCAGUAGCCGGUCUGAGAGGAUGGACGGCCACAUUGGGACUGAGACACGGCCCAG